GGCCAUAAUAUUUCACCCACAGUCCCAGCAGGGUCAGAGCGGAGCACUGGGUGUCUGGCUGAAGAGAAUAGUCUCUCCUAAGGGGGGGCUGUAAAGAGGUUUCAGCACAGGCCAGGGUUAGACUAGCCAACGGUCAACACUGAAAAUUGCCUUCAGUCCUGAGAUUUUGUGAUUCCAAGGACAGUGACAGAAGUGCCUUCACCACAUGUUGGAUGUCUACUGGCUUCACCUAUGCCUUCCCCUCAUUCCUCUCAGGAAUUUCCUGGAAUGAAGUAGAAGGCGCAGGACUGAACGUUCCUUAGCUCCUCGCCUGGGCUUCUAGGGGAGCAGAAUGAACAAAAUGGGAUUUACUUCUGUGCUUGCAUAGGUAUAGAAGAGAUCUUGGAAGAGGCUCAUGGAAGAAGGAAAUCGAGGAAGAGGGGUAGGAGCACUGGGGAAUUUUGAAAUGGCAAAAUGAAGAGCUGGGUAUUAUAUAAUAAGAAACCAAAAUAAGGAUGUGAAUCACAGGAACUGGAAAAGUUCGUGUCUGUGGGAGCGCUCUGCCAGGCAUUGCUCCCAUGCAGGUUUAGAGGCAUGCUGGAGUGGAGCAGUUCUUCCUCCUCCUCCUCCUCCUCAUCAUCAUCCUUAUCAUCAUCAUGGUGAACGCUGACAUGCACUGAGCAUGUGCUGUGUGCCACCUUUCCCAUCAUGAUUUCGCAGUCACCAUAAGUAAUGUUAUGUCCUGUGCCCAAUUCACACAAGAAGUGGUGGGGCAGGAAUUCAGUGCAGGGCCAGGGUUCUUCUGUUUUGAUGAUACCAGAUGGCCUCACCUCUAUGAGAACAGCUAUCACUAAGAAACAAAGGAUAACAAGCGUUGGAGAAGACGUGAGGAAAUUGGAACCCUUGUACUCUCCCUGCAGUCCCCAUAUGAACAAGGCCAAGCCAGCCUGCUGGAGAAGGACCAUGAGGAGCAGGGCUGACACAACCCAACUGAGGCCACCUUUGAUCACGCAGCUGACAGCAGAUGACUGAGCCAGCCCAGCCGAAAGCAGCCACGCCUAGCCCAGCAAUAAGCACCGCACCAGCCCAUAGACUUGUGCAACUUAUUUUGAGCAUUCAAACAUGCGUCAACAAGGCAAAGCUUCCAUGAAACGAAUCACAGGGAGGGACCGCCCGGUGUCUGGCUGCAGGGCCCCGUUGGGGAGAGGCAAGCAUCCAACACGGACACUGACACAUCAAUACAAGUCGAGAUCACACCUCCUAGGGAAAGUGAAGGUGCUCUGAGUACAUUGAGGAGCAGAAAAGCCUAAUCAGAAAAGACUUCCCAUGAAAUCGGCAUUCGAACACAUAUCUAAAGGGCAAGUCAAGCCUUGGCACCAAGAGAGCAGGGAGCGAGAGGUGUGGGGGCCGAGGCCAGAUGGGUCCCCACAUCCUAUUCUCUGGAGCAGCAGCGACACUGUCAUCUCGCUCACCUUUCUUCACAGCCUGUAGUGCCCCAUGUGGAGGUGUGGGCUCACCAGGGAGGACUCUCACCUCGGACAGCUGAUCCCUGUCCCCCGUGCCCAGGGACAUUCUUCUUGUCAGGAGUUGAUGAGUUCCCAGUGGAGGUGGUGGACUCCUAAGCUUUUCAAGGGAUGGGCUCAAGUAAUACAAUCCCCCCCCGCAACGUAGCCAUUGGUGGCCCCUUGUUCUCA